UUUCUCUCUCUAAAUUUUUCGUCUAGCUUUUAUUUUUUUUUGCUUGCCCCCAGUUCUUCUCUGUGAGCUCCACUGGUCUCUUUCUCUCUCCCUCCCUCCAUGUAUAUAGUUCACAUGCCCAAGUUUCAACUUACAAGGUCAACAGUAAGAGGAAGAACUUGCCCUCUUUGAAACGUCCGUGGCCGGUUCAGGAGUGUCUUGGUGGUCAAAGAAGCAAAAGGACCGACCUUCAUUGUAAUGAGAGCUUCCUCCUUCUACUUCUGGGUCUCCAAGAUCUCCUGAAGAAUCUUUACCCUAGCAACCACACAAACUAAAUAAACAGCGCCAGUUCAUCUGCAUUAUUUCCUUUGCAAUUCCUCGGCUAGAUCCGCAGAGAGGAGGAAAAAGUGUGAGCAAAUUAAGGGUUUUGAUUUCUUGAACAACCACCAGCAGAUGAUUCGAGACUUCAUGGACCUAUCGCCGCGGUAUGACGACCACAGCGCACAGGAGAGCAACACGCCGUGCGCCGAGAUCGAGAAAGAGCACAUGUUCGACAAAGUCGUGACCCCUAGUGAUGUGGGCAAGCUCAACCGCCUCGUCAUUCCGAAGCAGCAUGCUGAGAAGUACUUCCCCCUUGACUCGUCCACAAGCGACAAGGGGCUCCUCCUGAACUUCGAAGACCGAAACGGGAAGCCGUGGCGGUUCCGGUACUCCUAUUGGAACAGCAGCCAGAGCUACGUGAUGACCAAGGGUUGGAGCCGCUUUGUGAAGGAGAAGAAGCUCGAUGCCGGCGACAUCGUGUCAUUCCAACGAGGGUCUGGCGAGUCGGGGAAGGACCGAUUGUACAUUGAUUGGAGGAGGAGGCCCAAUCCGCCAGAACAUGCCUCGGUCUUUCCCAAUCUACCACUUCCCCAUCACCAACUCUCGUUCCACCGCCCGGUUCCAUGGGGUCUAUCGUCACUCGUAGGUUCGGCCGUCACAUCUAGUACUACUUUUCUCGGGAACCCUUAUGGGAGCAACUACGGAAGCAGCAAUUACCCUUACGGGCAUGGGGACAUCAUAAAUAGCUCAAAUUAUGGGGGGUCAUCGGUGUUUUACCUCAGAUCGAGCGUGGCCCCGCAGCAAGUGGGGAUACUGGGGAAUGUGGAGGUACAAGGUGGAGGCAGUGGCGGUCUUCUUGACGGCGGAAGAGGCAUCGAGCCAGUGGUGUUUGAUUCGGUGCCAGUGGUCCAUGGAAACAAGGCCUCUGCGAAGAAGUUUAGGCUUUUCGGCGUCAAUAUGGAGUGUCCCGAUUCAGAGUCCAGCGAACCCGGCACAUCCUCAUUGCAACCCCCUCAGAUUUGUGCAACUCCUUCGCAGUACUCCUCGCACCAAUUGAGGGUCUAUGACGGGUGGCCACUGCCGAAUGGACCGAGCAAAGGCAAGGCAUCAUCCAUGUCCUUGGACUUGGAAAUGUGAGAAAGUUAGAGAAGAAAGAUGAGCCAAAAAGGAGGAUACACAGUUUGUGUCAAAGGUUGUGGUUCUAAUUGCUGCAUCAGCAUGUCCAGAAAGAGAUUGGAGAAAGCACAAGCGAGAUUUGAAAUUAAGGUGAGAGCUCCUUACCUUUUGUGCAAUGCCUUUACUUGCAUCUAUUCUCGCAAGUCUCGAUUCUUCUGUCGGCUAAAUUGUUUUUCUGUUGCUUGUGAACUUCUUCGAUGGCGAUGAGGUGAGUGUUCAAGUCAUCUUGCUUGCUUGUCCCUAAUAGGUUCUAUCGUCGACGUCAAGUUUUGAGCUAAUCAUGGAAAAUAUUUGCUUGCUCACCUGGUGAUUGGACCCUAGCUUGUCCUGAUGCAAGAAGAGCUUAGUCCUUUUUUGCAGUAAGAUAUGACCUAAACUAACAUACUAGGUAACAUCAGUUUGUCUGACUUUGAGUUUCCACGAGGAGGAUUUCGUAUCUGGCUUAGCUUAUCAAGAGGACUUUGUGAUCUGUUCUAUCUUUUUCCCUUUUGGGUAUGUAUGUGGAGAGCAAAGAUGAAAUCGAACUGACAGCAUCAAGUCUAGACUAAGG